AUUAUUUGUUUACCACUUAGAACACAGCUGUCAGCGCCAUCUUGUAACGGCGAAUGUGGGCGCGGCUCCCAACAAGAGAUUUACAUAAUUUGAAGUUACAAACAUACAGCUGUCACGAUGUGCGAUACUGGACUCCACUGUGCUCCCUUUAUUAUGGUGGAACAAGACCUCCCAACUAUCCCAGAUUCUCUCGUCAGGACUGAGGUGGAGGAGAGGAGGCUGGACCGGGCAGGAGGAGGCAGUGCCAAGGACCGGCCCCAAGUGUGCAGUCGACACAAAGUAAGGAGGGUUACUCAAGAUGUGGGGUCCAGAGGAUGAUUAAUUGUG